GCAAAGUUCACAUUGUCAAAGAGUUUCAAGUUUUAAUGUUUCCAAUCUGCCUCUUUUGCCUUUGUCUGAUUCUACAGAUAAAGUUUUAGUUGAUUUAAAAAGUUCUACGAUGGAGUAAU